GGAAUCUUCCACAAUGGACGAAAGUCUGAUGGAGCAACGCCGCGUGAGUGAAGAAGGUCUUCGGAUCGUAAAGCUCUGUUGCUGGUGAAGAAGGAUAGAGGCAGUAACUGGUCUUUAUUUGACGGUAAUCAACCAGAAAGUCACGGCUAACUACGUGCCAG
rnacentral:rRNA from 1 species